AUUUCGUAGUUUAGGCCCCACGUUGGGCGCCAAAAAUCAAUAUUUAAUAUCAUUAAAUAAUGAACUAAAAAUUCGAAAACUGUGUCGAAAAAAGUGGAUAAAAGUACAGGACGAUGACUAGUUCCGCAAUAGCCUAGAAUGUGCACGAAAACAAACAAAUUAUACUUUCCUUUUAUGACACAAACCUUAGUCUAUGUAUAUCAAAUGAUGAAUAUUUGGUGCUUAACAGGUCUUGAGGUAUUUCUCAAAACAAAAAAAAAGUCAUUCAAUUUAGAAACAAAAAGUUGUAAUAGUACAUAUUAUUUAUUCAUAUCGUUAACAAAUGAAAUACUUUGAGGAAAAAACAAUAAUUUUUAGUCAUAGUAAAACCUAAGUACUGAUUGGUCCAAAAAUUUGGUAGCGAUUAGACCUGAUCUCUAAAAUAAAUCCAAAUUGAUUCUAUUUUUGUACUAUAAUAAUACUGAUAAUAUUUUUAAAUUGUGAAACAUUUCGAUUAUUGUAAAACUUUGUACUACUCACUUGUUCGUAAACACUGCUAGUCACAGCUUGUAUGGUGGAUAUUUUGUAUUUUCUUCCAAUUGAUUCCAGUGUUUUUGAACAUACUUUUGACUUAUAUGAAACAAGUACGUUAAGUGGGGUAAUGGAACACGAGCAAAUAAUACGUUCCACACAUGAAAAUAUUACGAUUUUGCUUGACUUACAACAGUUUUUUGUAUUGAUUAUCGUGAAAUUUAAUUUAUUUUGAAGAUCAUAAUUUUUAUUUGAGUAUUACUGCUGUCUUCAAAGUUGUCGGCUAUGAUUUUUUGCUGUAGAUUAGAUAAUUUACAUACUUUCAAUGGUACAGUGGUUUAAAAACAUGAUGUGGGUUUUUUAAUCUUUUUACAAUUAUUGUAAACUCACUUCAAUUUAUCUUAUCGAGGUUCCCAGCACAAUACUGAGAUCCUUAGACACUAUAACUUCACCUACACUAUAUUUGCUGUAGAUUUCUGAGCAGUUCCGUUGAAAUUAUGGCUUUAACAUGUCUCUUCACUUUUCUUGAAGAAGUAAGCACCACAAGCAUAAAACACACCAAUCAGUUUUUCGGGAAUGAAAUUGCAGUUUGACAAAGACUAGAUGAUUACUUUCAGUCCAAAUGCUCCAAUUGUCGCAUCGCAUCAACUCAACUAAGAAUAACCUGAACAAAAUUUUUUUGUUAAUGGGGAUCAAACCUGACAUUAAUCACGUGACAGAUGUCAAAAUAUCUGUCACCGAGAGCAGUGUUGCCAAUUUAAAAUUUUAUGUCUUUGUUGUUGUAUGAAAGUUGUAAAGAAAAUCGUAGUAUUUUUAAAUGAUCGCCUUCUAGCGUCUGUUUUGAAUAUAAUAUGUUGUUUUCAAAUUUUUGAACCAUUCCGUACGUUAUAACAGAGUCUAGACAAUAAUCAAAUAAAAGAAAAAAAGUUUAGACGACAUUCCAGAAGCACAAUAACAGUGUGAUUGUCAUUUUUUCAUUUGUAAGUUUUGUAUAUAUUAAUUCGAGGAUUAAGAAAGCGAAAAUUCUCUAAAGAGCAAAGUGGUAAAAUAGUAUUAGGUCAUGAAUUCUAAUUAUUAUCGUCUAGCAUUAAGUGACUAGCAUUAUGUUCUUUAUUAAAACUGUGCUUUAUACUUGUAAAACUAACUUGCAAACUGCGUGUAAGUUUUUAUCAAAAUGAUUAUUAUCGUGUAACUAUCAAAAUUAUGAGUAGUACAGUAUAUGAAGGUAAAAAUCAACUAUUAAUUCAGAUUUCGGUGAACCUCCAUCGAUUUUCAUGAAAAUUGGUGAGUGGUUAGAGCAUACCUCAAGGAACAGAAGUGACCUAUCAGGCCUAUUCUGUAACUACAAAUCGAAUAGAGAUGAGUCAAAUCGAAUAGAUGUAAGCAAGUCGGAUCGACAUUUGUAGGAAUUUGUAUUCUGUAACUCAUCGACCUCUACUAUCGCAACGUUGGAUAGAAAUUGAUUUCGACUACAAAAGCCCUGUCGAGAUCACAUUUCGACGUCGAAAUUGGUCUUGAAGCUUGUGCAAUGGUAUCAUUAUUGUUGUUUUGACGUUUAUUUUUUGGUUUAGUUAGAUAGUUGUAUAUUUACCAGUAAUUAUACAGCAUCAAGGUUAAUAGUGUAGCACGAUAAAUUAAACAAACAAAAAUGUACUUAGACAAUGUUGUUAGGUCAUAGGCAUGAUAAACUUUGUGCUACAUAACUUUGCGAAAUACCCCGGUAAGCUACAGUCUCGAGAGAUUUAAGGGAGUGAGUUUUUGAAAUAAUAUUUAGUAUUAAGAAAAAGUAUUAAUUAUUGGGCGCCAUCAACAAAUCAAAAUAUACUGCCAUAUGCCUAUGCAACAAUAAAAUACAAAAAAAAA
rnacentral:lncRNA from 1 species